CGGUCCCGCGGCCGCAUGAGCCGUGCGCGGGGGGUGCUGUGCCGGGCCUGCCUCGCGCUGGCCGCGGCCCUGGCUGCGCUGCUGCUGCUGCCGCUGCCCCGCGCCCCCGCCCCGGCCCCGGCCUCAACCCCUGGCUCGCGCGCGCCCCCUGCCCGCGCCUCCGCCCCCCGCCUGCGGCCCGAGGACGUCUUCAUCGCCGUCAAGACCACCCGGAAGAACCACGGGCCUCGCCUAGGGCUGCUGCUGCGCACCUGGAUCUCCCGGGCCCGCCGGCAGACAUUCAUCUUCACCGACGGGGAUGACCCUGAGCUACAGCUCCAGGGAGCAGGCAGCCACGUCAUCAACACCAACUGCUCAGCUGUGCACACCCGCCAGGCGCUGUGCUGCAAGAUGUCAGUGGAGUAUGACAAGUUCAUUGAGUCUGGACGCAAGUGGUUUUGCCAUGUGGAUGAUGACAACUACGUGAACCCUGAAGGCCUGCUGCAGCUGCUCUCCGCCUUUUCACCCAACCAGGACGUCUACCUGGGGCGGCCCAGCCUGGACCACCCCAUCGAGGCCACCGAGAGGGUGCAGGGAGGUGGAACUGUGACAACCAUCAAGUUCUGGUUCGCUACCGGUGGGGCUGGGUUCUGCCUGAGCAGAGGUCUUGCCCUCAAGAUGAGCCCGUGGGCCAGCCUGGGCAGCUUCAUGAGCACAGCUGAGCGGGUGCGGCUGCCGGACGACUGCACGGUGGGCUACAUCGUGGAGGGCCUGCUGGGCGCUCGCCUGCUACACAACUCGCUCUUCCACUCCCACCUGGAGAACCUGCAGAGGCUGCCACCUGACACUGUGCUCCAGCAGGUCACCCUGAGCUACGGGGGUCCUGAGAACCCACAGAACGUGGUGAACGUGGCUGGGGGCUUCAGCCUGCAGCAGGACCCCACACGGUUUAAGUCCGUCCACUGCCUUCUCUACCCAGACACAGACUGGUGUCCUGUGCAAAAGUAGGGGAACCUCGCUUCACGGUGACCCUCUGACUCUGCCCCAGGUGCAGGUGGUCCAUGCCUGCCCAAAGGAGCAGGAAUAGUGCUGCCCACUCCUGGCCUCAGUUGGCGUCCUCAGGCAGCCACGGUCAAAGGCACGGCUACACCCAGUGAGAUGUGGGUGCCCAGCAGACACUCGAGCUGGCCCUGGGGAAGCCCAUGGGACCUGGCGCUGUGGGAGAGUGAGAACAGUGCUGCCUGCCCUGCCCGUGGGUUCAGGCUCUGUGGGGUGCGGGGUACCUUGGAACGAGCAGGAAGCCGCCCAUGCCCUCCAGCCUGGAGGCUUGCUCCCCUGGUUUUCGGGACAAGUGUCUACUGAACAUCCAUACACCACAUGUCAUUGCAAGCCAGGCAUGGAGCAAGCACUGGAGGGAUGACGACCAGCAGAAUGGACCAGCUCCCCAGGGCUGGGGAGUGUUGGGGGUGAAUGGGGAAUAAGUGCCAAUGGGUGUGGGUUUUCUUUUAGGGUGAUGAAAAUCCUCAUUAUUUGCAGAUUCUGUAUUUGUGAAUUCGCCCACUCGAUACAUUUAUUGUAUUUCCAAAAUCAAUACUUGCUUUCCUAGACGUGCCCAGACGCGUGAAGACUAGCGAAAACUUUGAGUCCCGGGAUGUGCCCAUCCCCAGCUGAGGCUGACCUGAGCUGGGCUCUGCCUCAGGGAUGCCAGGAGGAUGGAGCCGGCAGGGGGCAGUGCGGAGGAAGGCAGGAGGCUGAGGCUCCCGGAGCCAGCGGGGCAGGUUUGGGUCCAGUUCCAGCGCCUGUUGGUGGAGUGGCCUCAGGCGACUCACUUCACGCUUCUGGGCCUCCUGUUCUCCUUUGUAAACUACAGAAAACAGAAUCUACCAUAUUGAGCUGUUUUUAGGAUUUCAGAUUUAUAAUCUGUAAACGGUGUGUGUGUGUGUUUGCCCUAAGUAUUAGCUAGUUCCGUAUUUGUGGCAAUUUCACUCUCCUGUGGAUAACGCGAAUUAACUUUAUGCUGGAAUUAGGGCCUUUAUUCUGGAUUCUGGUGACGGUUACACAGCUCUGGGAACACAAUAAAAAUCACUGAACUGUCCACUUCAAAA